UCAAUUCCAUUUGCAAUGUUGUCAAGGUCUUGCCAAAUAUUGUUUGUGUUUGCGCCCGUGCUUUCACUGUCAACUACAAGUACUUUGACUUGCUCAGUUUCAGAAAUAUUAUCUGUCGUAAUAAUUGACUCUGUGGCAAUAUCAAGAGUUUUACAAAGGUUUUCUUUAUCUGAAGUUAUAUUUCCAUCGUCAUUGACGGUCUUAUGUUCGUUGUCAUUUACAGAUUUUAAAAACGUCUCUAAAUCCUCUUCCAUUUCAAGUUGAGAAAUUAUAUUCUUGGACAAAUAUGUAGAAGUUAGACCGCAUCUUGGAUCAUCUCCAAACAGGGCUUUAAACGGUGUCCUGCCAAUCGUAGAAUGUUGCAACACAGUUCAACAUUCAAAACUAAUAAAAACGCACGAGCAAACCGGUUUGUUUAUGUUCCGUGGCCAGCAAUGGCGGCCGCGAGGAAGGAGAAGUGACACGUGACCGCCAACCAAUCAGAUCGCGCGUAGCGUUUGGUUACUGCUUACGUAUUAUUUUACGAGUGAGUUCAGUAAGUUUAUCAAUUUACGAAAAUGUGGACGUAAAAUAUUACAAUUUAUCUCCCGUUUAGAAUCUUACGAAAGUUUAUAAACUUCCUAGUAAAUUGAUAAACUUACGGAUCUUGUUAUUUUCCGGUGACAUAUACA